ensembl:snoRNA
AUGGAGGUCUAUUUCCAAUGAGGCUUUUUCUAUAAACCUACAUCACUGGAAAUGCCUCAUAGAGUAGCUACAUUGUUUCCUUUACUCAUAGACAUACUGUGUGUUAGGUUUGGGGGGAAGAACUACAGGACAUGA